AGGAGACUGAGGCAGGAGAAUCGCUUGAACCCGGGAGGCGGAGGUUGCGGUGAGCCAAGAGCGCACCAUUGCACUCCAGCCUGGGCGACAAAAACGAAACUCCAUCUCAAAACAAAACAAAACAAAACAAACAAACAAACAAAACUUGCAUCUAACCAAAAAGUCUUGGUUUUAUCUUAAUCCAUUAAAAAGUUGUUCUUUGUUUCCAGCUUGCAUUGAUUGCUACAACAUCACUAAUUUGGCUUUCACAUUUAAAUGGUUCUGUGCUAAUCAAAACUUUCGUUGUUAUUAUUCAUUAUGGUAGAAUCAUUUUUAAUUCACGUGCUUUGUGUUCAGUUUUGUGGUCUGAGAGAUGUACCAAUUGUCAAAUUACCGUGUACCACCUAAUGUUUAUAGGAGAAAGCAAAAUACAUCAGCUUGGUAGUUAACACAUCAAAUAUUUCUUGCUGCUUCUAGGAGAACUUUUUUGGUGUGUGUUGGAAUGGCUGAGCAAAUAUUAAAAUUGUUAAUAUGCAGCCAUAUAUGGAAGGUUCCUGUGGGGUUGUUUUUUCGUGUUUUUUUUUUUUUUGUGGUGGGAUUAUGUGCCUCCCAUUCACUAGAAAAUGAGAAAAUUGUCUGGGUUCCAAAAUAUUGACAUUGAAUGGAUCAAUACACACACACAGACAUAUAUAUAUAUAUGCACACAUAUAUAGGCAGUUGCAUGCUAGCAUGGGUAUUUUUAUAACAAUAUAACUGAGUUAUAUUGGAAUUAUAAAUAUUUUCCGUCACUUAAAUUUGUUCUUUGUUUAGCCUGAAAACCUUUAUGGCUCAAGAUCAGAUUCCUGACUAACCCCUCUCUUAGAGCUACAGCGAGCUGCAUUACCAGCUUAAAACACUUCUUAGGGAUUAAAUAUAGAUGUAAUUUUUCAAAAUCGUUUUUAAUUUAAACUGUGUUUUAGUGUAAAAUUGUUAACCUUGUAAGAUGGAUAAUGUGUAUAAGAAUGUAGGCCUUAACUAUUUCACAUGAGUCAAAACAAAGCAGCUUUAAAAAAAUAAUUGGAAGCACAAGUGCAUGGCACUGACUGAAUGCUGUUAAUAUUUCUAAAAGUUUCUACAUUCAGAUUAUAUGCCUGAUUCAUAGUAAAAUACCUCUAAUAAACACUGUUUUAUAGAAAACCUGACUUCAGUGAAUAUUUUUGUAUUUUACAUGGGCCAGUUUAUAUACUGCUAUUUACACUAUUAUUUCCUAUAGCUACAUGUUCUUUGUACCUUUUGUAGUUUUAUUUGUAUUACUAGAUUCAUACCUUGAUGGUAACGCUCUAUCUGGUUUUGGGUGUUUUUCAUGUUUUAGCAUUUGUAUAAAGAAACUGGUCCAUGUAAAUACUUUCCAUGUUUUUUCUUCAAAUGUUUAAACCACUAGUUGAUGUAUGGUAUCUUUAGAUAUUUGCCUGUCUGUUUGCUCAAAAUUGCUUCUAAAACAAUAAAGAUUCUUUUAUUUCUUAAGGCAA
rnacentral:lncRNA from 10 species